rnacentral:rRNA from 1 species
GACGAACGCUGGCGGCGUGCUUAACACAUGCAAGUCGAGCGGUAAGGCCCUUUCGGGGGUACACGAGCGGCGAACGGGUGAGUAACACGUGGGUGACCUGCCCUCAGCUCUGGGAUAAGCCUGGGAAACCGGGUCUAAUACCGGAUAUGACUCCAUGACGCAUGUUGUGGGGUGGAAAGCCUUGUGCGGCUGAGGAUGGGCCCGCGGCCUAUCAGCUUGUUGGUGGGGNGAUGGCCUACCAAGGCGACGGACGGGUAGCCGGCCUGAGAGGGCGACCGGCCACACGUGGGACUGAGACACGGCCCAGACUCCGUACGGGAGGCAGCAGGUGGGGAAUCUUGCGACAAGUGGGACGAAAGCCUGACGCAGCGACGCCGCGUGA